AUUCCAGCUCCAGUAGCGUAUAUUAAAGUUGUUGCAGUUAAAAAGCUCGUAGUUGGAUUUCUGAUAGUAGCGUUGCAUGUUCGCUCCUUUCAUCCUUCUAGAGAACGGUUCUCUCCUUCAUUGGCAGUGGGAUCGCAAUCUAGAUCUUUUACUUUGAAAAAAUUAGAGUGUUUAAAGCAGGCUUGUGCUAUGAAUACAUUAGCAUGGAAUAAUAAUUUAGGACUUUAGUUCUAUUUUGUUGGUUUCUAGAACUGAAGUAAUGAUUGAUAGGGAUAGUUGGGGGUGCUAGUAUUCAGCGGCCAGAGGUGAAAUUCUUGGAUUCGCUGAAGACUAACUUAUGCGAAAGCAUUCACCAAGGAUGUCUUCAUUA
rnacentral:rRNA from 1 species